rnacentral:miRNA from 1 species
AUAUUUCGGAACUGAGUCUAGUUCCUCCGAUAUCAAUGUAUUCUAAGUAUCAUAUCUUAGAAUACAUUGACAUCGAAGGAACUAGACUCAUUUCCGAAAUAU